ACCUUUGCGCAGUGGCAGUAUCGUAGCCAAUGAGGUUUAUCCGAGGCACGAUUAUUGCUAAUUGAAAACUUCCCCCAACACCCCGCCAUGACGACUUGAAAUAUAGUCAGCAUUGGCAAUUUUUGACAGUCUCUACGGAGA
rnacentral:snRNA from 1 species